UCCGUCCGUCCGUCUGUCUGUGCCUCUGUUCGUCCGUCCGCUUCAGGUUAAAGUUUUUGGUCAAGGUAGUUUUUGAAGAAGUUGAAGUCCAAUCAACUUUAAACUUAGUACACUUGUUCCCCAUGAUAUGAUCUUUCUAAUUUUAAUGCCAAAUUAUAGUUUUGACCCCAAUUUCAUGGUCCACUGAACAUAGAAAAUGAUAGUGCGAAGUUCAGGUUAAAGUUUUUGGUCAAGGUAGUUUUUGAUGAAGUUAAAGUUACAUCAACUUGAAACUUAGUACACAUGUUCCCUAUUAUAUGAUCUUUCUAAUUUUAAUUCCAAAUUAAAGUUUUGACCCCAAUUUCACGGUCCACUGAACAUAGAAAAUGAUAU
rnacentral:lncRNA from 1 species